rnacentral:tRNA from 1 species
GGGGAUAUGAUUUAUUUGGUAGAAUGCUGACGUUGCAUGUCGGAAGACUUGGUUCGAAUCCAGGUAUCUCCA